AUCCAUCUGACGGGUCCCAAACAGGACGAAAUACGCGUCCUGGAU
rnacentral:hammerhead_ribozyme from 1 species